AGACUCCUUGUUGAAAGAUUCUUCAGGCUUACUACCAUUCACGUCCCCCAGUGGAAGACCACCACCAUUUGAUGAUGCCUGUUUUCGCAUAGCUCGUGGUAUUCUCAAAGGUAUAUCUGUUUCAGUUACGUUUUUCUCAACCUUUGGGGCUGCAGGAACAUUUUCAGGUCUAGAAGAGAGAACUUUUUGUGGUACAUUCGUAGAUAUGUUCGGUUCACUGAUGCUAUUGGUUUCUUUCUUGGGGACUUCAGCAUUAUCUGACUGCGUGGACGGUGGAUCUGGAACAACUACUACUGUGGGCACUGUGGACUUUCGCCAUUUCUUUCUUUGAUUAGUCUUCUGGGCGUUUGAUUUGGCCUGCAAAAAGA
rnacentral:lncRNA from 1 species